CGUGGACCAAAAGAUGGGCAGGCACCGGCCGGGAUAGAGUACUUGCCCAGAAAGCUUCUGCGGGGGUGCUUCUCAACUUCUUUUACGGAAACUUGCGGGCCACAGAGCUCCAGCGCCCUCAGACCCCCAAGCCAUGGGGGGCCCGCGUGUGGAUGUGCGGCCACAGCAGCAACAUCAGGAGCAGCUGUGACUGGGAAUUUCGAGCUAGCUUCUCUCCUCUUGCCCAGCCCGGACGCCAAGGGCAGGAGAUGAGAGGUUCUGCCUGGUCCGAUGGCACUGACUGACUGCCUUCACCUUAGUUCAAAGUGGGCAAAAGCCGAACCAGGUGAAUUGUCGAGAAACACAGCCAGAUUGGGAGUCACCACCGCCGCCACCACCGCCACCGCAGCGUUCUCCUCCUCCUUAGAUCGGGAAUAGAUGCCCCCCCACCCACACACCCCUCCCUCCUUGAGCAUUUGACUCAUCUGCCCACCAUGGGAUCGCCGGCGCCCUCAGCCCCAGCCCCUGCGAGGCUGAUGUGGAGGGCGGACCAGCACUUAGUCUGCCUCCGGGUUCCUUGCUGAAAGCUCCCGCCUAGCUCUUCUUCCUUCUCACCCCCUUGGAAGGAGCCCGAUGUCCUAGGAGUUUGUGGAACUCACCGCUGUCCCUGAGCUCCUAGUGUGAGAGCUAAGAGAAGAGAAGGCAAGAGAGCAAGAGAGCGAGAGAGAGAGAGAGCAGCCACUCCGCCAGCUGAGGCUCCGCACUCUUAAUUGCAGUGGGACAUAGAAAAUCACUACCUCUGAAAAACUAUAGAUGAGCAUCACACAGAGGGUAGUGGAGAAGUAUAUGGUGAAUAAGCAGGCUGUAACAUGUAACGGAUGAAGAACUCCAAACAAGAACAGGAAUAAAAGGCAUCAUCAAGGAACUAUAUGAUGAAUAAAUAAAUGAAUGAAUGAAUGAAAUGAUGAAUGAAAAGUGGGCUUCUUGUGUGGUAAGAAUGAAGGAUGGACAGGUGAACAGAGUGCUCCAUUAGUACCCUUUCAGUGUUAGAAUAAUCCAAAAGUCUCAGCCAUGUUGUAUGGACUCACUGUGGUAAACUUUUGGGACAUUAUGUACAAGAGUCACCAGGAUUAGCAGCCAAGAAUGAGUAGCAAUCUGCAUUAUUGAAGGGGUUUUCUGAAUCAAUGACAUCAUGAAUCUACUUGAAUAUUUGGUAAUUUGUCAUAUGUAAUACAUUUAUCAUCUUAUUUGACUAAAAAGUUCUUGACCAUGCAGAAUGAGACCAUGU